GAAAACGAUUCGCUGGCCUCUUUUCUGGUUUUCUUUCGUGAGCUAAAGGUGUGGUUGACAAUCUCAUCUUGGAAGCCAGUGAUUCUCUCUUAGCUGAGACCUGCAAGCCGUUGGUGAAGACACUCCCUUUCAUUGUACCCCAGCCCAUCCCUCCUCGGAAGCCUCGAAUAACUUACAAAAGAAUCCCUCAACUGUCGUCUUCCUGUAUUGUGCACACAGUGACGUGUCCAUCCUACAGUGACGUCAUGAAAAUUGCGUCAUCAGUAAGCGAGUGAUCAUGGACCUUUGGGAAUCAUCUUCGAGGCAUCAUGAAUGCCCCACCUGACAUGACAGCAACUGGAGAAAAAGAAGUUCACAGUAAGAGGACAAAUAUCAACACGGACAGACCAGUAACAGAAAUUUGUGCCACGUGAUUUUACUUUUAAUCCCAGCAGAGCGGGACAAGCUGUUGUACGAAGCAGAGCCAAACUUAUAGGACACCAGAAACUCCGAAAACAAGUUGAGUAGUCGUCAUGUGAUCUGCUGUGACCUGCUGUGACCUGCUUACCACUGUCCAAGACAGACGUGAGAUCAGGUCUUGCCAUCUGUCGUGUUCAACCCUAACCUUCUCACAACAGCCUCAGUUGAGGUGCUGAAGGAUUGACUCAGAAGCAGAACUAAGAAAAUCCAGAGGAGUGUCGAAGCAAUGGCACAUCUUUAUGUCAUCAACGCCUGUGUAGAUAAUAAUAGACUAAUAUGAAUUGCCAUUAAAUUUUACAGUCCUUAGCAUAUCAGUUUUGGAAGGAUACAAUUAGGUUCAGUAAUUUAGACAGAUAAACGAUCUUUGGAAGAAUAUUUAAGACUUGUGAUGGAAGCAAUGUAUACUGAAAACUGCAUUUCUCAUGACAAGUGGAUAUCAAACCAACAGUGGACCUGUCAGGUCGGAAGCCUGUGACUGUGUUGACAUGAAAUGUACUCAGUAUGAAAGGUCCGAGCAAACAACUUUCCAAUGUUGUUGUACAAGACAGCGGACUCAAAAUACUUGCAGUCAAUGAUCUAAUGAGUUUUAUCACAGCUUUCUAUAAGCCAAACUUUUUCCGGAAGUUAACAAACAACACUUAAACUUAGUCCUCUCCUUCCUUUGGAAAUGUUUGAAAACAGAUGAAUGGUUUUCAUCAAGUGCUAGAUGUUUCUCAGAACAGAAUAGUAGGCUAAUGGAUGUAAUCAGCAAAGUACAGGCGAUGGACACCGCUCUCAUAACAGGUUGGCCCCGACAACAGGGGUCUUUAAUGCCUAAAUUCACCAACAACUAAAAGAUUAUGGGACUUCCUUUCUAAUUAUUACUAUUUAAAUAUACUAUUUGAUUUUUCAAGUGCAAUAAAUUCUCAAACUCAAGAACCUUUAUAAUAAAGACAGUUAAUUUGAUUCGCGUUGAAAUCAAAUAAAACAAAGAAAAUCGUCAUUAGGGAAUACCCGUUAUUAUUAAUGAUUACUCAUCAGAAGUUUAUACUCUAAAGGCAUCGAUUUGUCGAACUAGUGUUUGUAGCUAUCAUGAGACACUUUAUUUUUUUAACAUCUGGCAAAGAAAUGGUAAAAUGUUUCCUUAAAAACCUUUAAGUCGUAAAUAUGUGAAAAAUGUUAGGUUUGAAAGAAGUGAGAAAUAAAUGGGUUUUAUAGGGUUAGAGAGACCUACAUGCAAAGAACUGCAAAGAGUAUUUACGACCUAAAGGGUCUUGAAAACCAGAUACAUUCUACCGAAGGGGGUGUAAUGUCCAAAAAAGAUUUACAUUAGAAAAAAUAAACAGAAAGGAGAAGAACAGAAGAAAAAUAAGUAAUACAUGAUCUACUCAUAAAUGAAUUAGACAUUUCUCAUUGUGAGAAUUUCCGACUGUUAAACAAGAAACAGAAAGAUAUGCUAUCUGUCGACACUUGACUAGCAAACAUACACGUGACCUCGGGUUCAUUGAGCCUCAACCCCGUGAGCGGAAAUCUCGACACAAUGACAGACAAAAAACAGACAAAUAUUAUUUACAGCUUUCAUUAAAAGUCUGAAAAUAAAUACAAAUAUAAUAAAAUUAUUUACUUACUGAUUUGUUAUAUGACCCAGAAGCAGGUAAAUAAAAAUUGCGUGCAGUUAAGAAAGCAAUUCUACUCAACUGGAUUUUCCCGUUCGCUAGAAAAUGAUUCGACAUCGGGACGAUUUCAGAAUAUGGUAAACAAGACAUGAGUCCAGCGGAACAUGUUCCAAGCUUAUGAAUGCCCUUGCUGUGGAGGUUGUUGGAUUAAAAUUCUUCACGGUGGCUACAUUUUUGGAUUCGCGCAUUUAUUGCACCUGUUUGGGCAUGCAGAUUGUGAGCAGGCACAGUUUGAGGUUCCUGCCACAAUUAAAAUGUCCGCAAGUGAAAGCGAUUCGCGGCAAAUAUACAAUUCCUCUCUGUUUCUUCCUUACUGUGAGGAGGACAAGAAUCCGAGGAUGUCGCCAAGUCAUCAGCGCCUAGCAACUCAAUCGUCACGUGAAGAUUGUGCGAGGCACCAUCGUAGAGGGCAGGUCUAGUGAUUUCUUGUGUGAACCACAGAACCCUUACGAAAAAGAUACAAGUUCUUUUAUAGAAUUCGUGAAAUUGUCAUAACCUCCAACCUUCCAUUUAAUUGUUCUUGACACAUUUCAGCAAUUUUCUAGAUAUAGCUAUGGGUAAAGGUUCAAGCUGGCAAUCACCAAAGAAAUUUGUUGCGACAGCUAAUGGCCAUCCAAGUAUAAUGCAAAAUAAAGAGGGGCCAAAAAUACUGAAAAGUCUGGGAAUUUUUCCAGAUUUUUGGGGGGCAAACUGUGAUUCAAAUAUUAAGCAUGAAGAGAAUGCCGACAAUAUUCGAAACUUUAAUCAAGCAUUCAAAUUUAUCAUAAAGAACACGAAUAGAUUACAGUGCAAUUUUGAGACGCGUGUGUUUGAUGAUGAUGAUUCAAUUUUUUCACCAAAAACAAAAUGGAACUCUAAAAAUAUGCAAAAAUGUGAAAUAGACAAAGGAGAAAAGGCCGAGAAAAGGAAAGGAGAAAAUGUGCAUGGCACGCAGAACAGUGAGGUGUUCAGCGCCAACGAUGAAUGCAACAAUGAAAAUCGAGAGAAAGAUAAAGACAGAGAUAGAGACAGCGCCGUUCGAUUCGUUGGAAAUGGUAACAGGAAAUGUUUGCACUUUUCCUCUAAUAUUAUCAAUUUAAAAAACGAAAAAGAUAACGAAGCAAAAGGCAAUGAAUCUGUUGAAGAAGAUGAAAUGGAAGAGUACAAUAAAGGUAAUAUGUGCCAGCAGCCAGCUGUAGCUGUAUUGGAUGGCAAAGAAAUGAAGGUAAUUUUAACCGAUUCUGCAGCUGAGCAUCAGACAAUAUUCCCAGAUGAAGAUGUCACGGAAGGCAGCAUGGGAAGCGGUGUCAAAAAAGAAGACCGUCAUUGUUUCCACGCACCCUUCGUACUGCUCCACCCCGAUAUAUCUACAGGAAAGAGUUCCUCCUCCACAUCAAUAACAGUAAAUAAAGAAAAUACUGAUCCAAACGCCGAUCAGAUUUGUGAUGAGGAAUUCAGCAGCCGAUACUCGCUUUUUAAUGACUUGAAAACACUGCAUCAGAAAAUGUGCAAUGAACCUGAACAAACUGACGAACCUGCCAGUUUGAAACAUUUUUUCUUGGAACGUGUUGAGUUUGCUGCAAGGCAGGUUUUGGCCUUUCCAUUUCUGCACGAAGAACUGAGAGGACUGUCAAAAGAAGAAACACUGCGGUAUGAAGUGAUUAGGCUAGCCUCAUUUAGCCGUCUUAAUGAGUUAAAGGUCAGCGCCAUUCGCCUGGCGAUGUCUGGGUUUCACUAUGACGAAGAAGAUCGACGAAAUUAAAUGCUUCAGCUGUGGAGUCUGCAAAAGACACUGGGAGAGAUCAGAAGUCCCAUCCUAUUGUCCACUUGCAGAUUUCUCCUAAAUGUAAACAUGCCAACUUUGAGGAUGUCACCAACGUACCAAUUCAGACGAAAAACUAUACAUUGCUGGAUGGUUCUACAGAAGCUCGGUCAAUGCAAGGAAUUUUGCAACAGACAAAAGAUGACGGACGCUCCACUGCUCCGCCUUUAAUGUCGAUGCCAGAUAGUGGGUUUGAGUCAGCAGCAGACCCACUGGAAAGCAGAGAACCAUCGUCAACACUUGAAAAGACCCAAUCACAUCUCUAUAACCAUGCCGAUGAAAAAAGCGAUGGUUUGGAGGGUUCUUCGUUGCCAGUGCCAAGUUUAAAGGGCGCUACGACGGCUGUAUCUUCCUUUUCAUCGAAAGCAGGGUUAGAAGGAUACACAGAACCACCUGGUGGACGUUCAGAAAAAAGUAGCAACUACAACAGCGGGCCGCCUCCAGUGUAUAAUGUAUACACGACUCUGAUGUCUCACGCUGAUACUCCUGGCCUUGAAGGGAAGAGAUUCCCUGUUCAAGCUCAGCAACCUGCUGCUGUGAUUCAUCCAUACCCGUACCCUGAGUCUGGGAGGCUUUCAUCGAGUGGCACGUCCCCUCCAGUCAUCCCCGAACCCUCAACACCUGGCCUUGACAUGAUGCUGGCCGCUAGUCCGAUGAACUGCAAGGUCAUGACCCGGUUCGUGUCCUUCGCAAACUCGUGGUCGACUCUUACUACAGGACAAAGUCCGAAGGACCUAGCGCUUGCUGGAUUCUUUUAUUUAGGCACUGGAGAUAGCGUACGUUGCUUUUACUGCGGUAUCACGUUACGUGAGUGGAAACACGGUGACGACCCUUGGGAGGUUCACAUCGUGGCCCGUUUCUCGUGUGCCUAUGUCAAAGCAGUGAAGGGAGAGGACUUCAUUCUGCAGACCCUCAUUUCACAUUCCAGAAACACAGCUUGCUGUCUGCUGGAAAUGCACGGCUCCAGACAUCCACUUCUUCACGGGAGCAUCUCUCGAGUUCUGGAACUUUUCGUGGAAACAACCACGAUGCACCGUCAGUACAAACUCCAUCAGGAUCUGGCCAAUCACCACUCGGGCGAUCCCCACUUUGGAGGCUGACUGUUCCUCUAGAAACUCUUCUCAAGCGGUUCAGGCUGCAUCGUCAACUGAAUCAGUUACUUCAUCUGCAUCUGCCACAUGA